AGGCAGCUGCAGGCUCGUCAGCAGCAGGCUGCAAGAAACCAGCAGCUGCCAACACCUCGUCCCGGGGCAAUUAGCUAAUUGGUAGCUCUGCUUGGCAGGAGCAUGAGCUGUCUGUACCAGACAACAAGCCCUGGGCCUGCUUCAAGCCCACCAGCCCCGACACAAGCAGCCCCCUGAGGUUGGGGCUGGCAGCAGGGGACGGGGACAGAGCCCACUUCGGCUCCAGAAGCUGGGAGCCACCGGGAAGGCUGCUCUGAGUGCAAGGACAAAGCAGGCACCCAAAGGGCCCUGCGCAGCUGGGAGAUGGACUGGGGUACCAACAGGGGUGCUUGCCUCGAGCCAGGGCCGAAAGCCCCAACGCUUUGUCCCCAGUGGCUCUCACAAGCUCUGCUCCAUCUCCUGGCUCUGCUUGUUCCUCCCAGCUCACGUGCGAGGCUCCGCUCACGGCUCGCAACCAAGGCACCAAAUAAAUGCAUGGAGCAACCUAAAAUCUGCUCCUCAUUUCUCUUCCGAGUUCCUGCUGCAUCUCGGCCAGCCGUGCAGCUCGUGUUUGGACUGCCAGGGGCCCCCCCAGCCCCAGAACGGGCACCGCGCUCUCAGCAGCACCUGGCGGGUGGCACAGCGGCUGCUGGAGCUGGGCUGCACACAGGCUGGGUGCUGCUCUUGCAGUCACGAAUUUCAUGCUUAUUUUUCACUAGUGAGUGGUCAGCCUCAGACUUCUGAAAGCUUCUAACCAAGUGUGCAUCUUCCCAGUCCUCUUGCUGUUUCUCACAGGGCACAGAUCCCAGCCCCACAAGCUGCUCCUGAGGGCCCUGCUGGGGGAGCGAGUGCCACCUCGCACCGCUUCUUGCCCAGCCUCCCCUCCGCCCGCUGCCGCAGCGCUCCCCGUUAGCAGGAGUGAUGGCUUCUGACAAGCACGGCACUGCUGAGCAUCUGCUCUGCACUGGAGCAAGGCUCCAAAUAGUCACAGCAAAGUGACCUUUAAAAGCAGAGCUGCCUGACUGCUGGAGGAUGCAGGCUCCGCACCCACAUUUCUAACCGAGCAUCCCCGUCCCAAGGCAGCAAUGAUUGCUCCCUGAGAUGUGAAUGCCGUGCAAGGAGAUGGAGAAUUUUCGAUUUCCUUUCAGCCUGGAGCAUGCUAGACUCGCCCUGGACUGCAGAUACUUGGAAGCAGAUCUUGGACAAGCCCCGCUCCCGGCACAGCCAAGCACCGCAGCAGGGGAGCUCCAGCACAGCGCUCACGGCCGCUCCCAGGAGCUGGCUCCUCGCCCUCCCGUCCCUUUUAUUAAAGCUCAGGGCUGUCGUCAGAGGAGCUGCAAUCUCUGCAGCUCAUCUCAGGCAGAAAUCCACUUCCCAGCCAUCACCCACCUCCCAGCUACUGUGACUUGCAAACGGUCCCAGUGGGCAGUGGCUGAUUUGCUGGUGCACAGCACUGUCCUCUCAGAUGCACAGAGAAAACACCUGCCUGCAGGAAGGAAGCACUAAGCCACCUGUGUUAGGCUCCGGGUCUCAAUUCCGGUGAUUUUGGCUGCUGAGGACACAGGGCAGGACCCGCAGUGGGAUUUAGGCAUCACAGGGGGGGCAUCGCAGCACCAGGGAGCACUGCAGCGAUGUGGCAGCACCCGAGAGCUGACGCUGGGCACCAGGCUGCACAUUCCCUAUGUAAAAAAUCCUCCCAACUGGUACGACUUAACAUUUUUGCUUCAAGUAACGCCCAUUUUCUCCAGUUCUAUCACCCCUGAGUUCCCAAGGAAGCCAUGCUGAAGUUUCAGUUCCAUCUGCAGGACAGGGCCAGGAGGGGCUGCAGCCAGCACAGCAACCCCUCGGAGGGACGGGGCCACGGCCCACAGCUGCCUCUGCUCUUACAAAGCCGUGCGAACGCUUCCAGACAAGAGAAAAUCCUGACAGGAGCAGGAAACACCAGUGCAUUUAAGCUCUUUAUAAAAUUAAAUCAGGCACUCAAUAAUGGCAAAACAUAAUAGGAGAUACAUAAUCUCCAGAAGCUUAAAUCCAUAAAAUACCAGCGGCAAAGCUGCCUUGACUGAUAAACCCCCAAAGGGCGCGCGCUGCAGGGACACAAAGCAAA